rnacentral:rRNA from 1 species
ACGGAAGGCAGCAGUGGGGGAUAUUGCACAAUGGAGGAAACUCUGAUGCAGCAACGCCGCGUGAGGGAAGAAGGUCUUCGGAUUGUAAACCUCUGUUUUUGGUGAAGAAAUAAAUGACGGUAGCCAAAGAGGAAGCCACGGCUAACUACGUGCCAGCAGCCGCGGUAAUACGUAGGUGGCAAGCGUUGUCCGGAUUUACUGGGUGUAAAGGGUGCGCAGGCGGGACUGCAAGUUGGAUGUGAAAUGGCGGAGCUUAACUCCGGAGCUGCAUCCAAAACUGUGGUUCUUGAGUGGAGUAGAGGUAAGCGGAAUUCCGAGUGUAGCGGUGAAAUGCGUAGAUAUUCGGAUGAACACCGGUGGCGAAGGCGGCUUACUGGGCUCUAACUGACGCUGAGGCACGAAAGCACGGGUAGCAAACAGGAUUAGAUACCCUGGUA